GCUGGGAUUGUGACUCAGUGGUAGCACACUUGCCUUGCAUGCAUGGGGCACUGGGUUCAAUCCUCAGUACCACA
rnacentral:tRNA from 1 species